rnacentral:misc_RNA from 1 species
UUGAUUUUAGUUAUUUGUGAACGUACUACGAAUAAACAAAAAAUAUUAUAGUCAAAAAAAAAUUAAAUCA